CUGCUGAGGAGGUAAACAGGGACAGCACCCUGGGCCUGACUGCUGAGGAGGUAAACAGGGACAGCACCCUGGGCCUGACUGCUGAGGAGCUGAAAGUCCUGAGGAGCAUGAGAGACGAGGGAGGUUCAUUCAAAUCUUCCCCACCCCACAGACAUGGGAACUGUACAGUGGUUAUCUGGAGUAUAAGACAUCAAUGAACUCCAUGUUGUCUAACAGACGUUUCCAUGGAAGGUAAGCAUUUCCAUUGUGGUUUGGAAUGGGAGCAGUUUAAAUUUGUGGAAACCGUUGGCCCCUGACUUUGUGUUUGUUUUGUGUUCGGAUGAAUAGGUGAGGAGAACAGCUAAUAAGAUCUGUAUGGUAAUAGUAGACAUGAAAGUUUUCCAGAGCGAGCACAGUGUCUAUGUGGCAGUGUGGCUUUGGUAGUCUAGUCCUCAAAUGGCAGUUGGGGCUGGGGAGAGUUUAUGGAGCAGGGAAGAGCAGGGAAAAUGUUAUAGAAUAAGAAGAACUAUUGGGAAUUGUGUUGCAUGGGUUCAAACUUCAGAGAAAUCUUGUGUUUGUGAGCUUUAGGUUUAUGUACAGUAUUUCCUUUACUCAGUUUCACUAUUGCACAAUACUAUCUGGGGAGCUGGAGUCUCCUUUGGCCCAUUAUGAUUGUUCCAUGUUGCUUGCUUUGGUCCUCAGAUUGGGGAAAGCGGUGGUGACCUCAAGAUUACAGUGGGUGUUAUUGCCGCCAAUUCGCCCCCUCACUCUGUCUUCCAUAUUUCAACUU